AUCUCAUUGGCUCAGUUGGUUAGAGUGUUCGCUUCACAGACGUCUUACGUAAACAAUUACGUAAGGACAAAGUCGCGAAAGGUCCGCGGUUCGAUCCCGCGAUGGGAUA